CUCACACUCACUCUGCGUGGCAACAUAAAAAACAAAAAGAAAAGGAAAUCCUCACAAAAUCUCUGAGGAUCUCUCAACACGCGUCCACUCUCUAAAAUACCUCACUCUCAUCAUCACACACUGACCUCACGGCAUUCACUCAUCACUCUCUGAAAAACUUACCAGCGCUCACACCUAGACCCUCUUCUCUCUCAUCGUGAAAAAGGAAGAAAAGCUGUCUAGCUUUUCCGCUUACCACACGCACCCAUCUUCUUCUUUCAAAGAAAACACAGCACCACACAUACGCCUUCUUCAACCCUAAAUCCGCCGUCAAACCCUUCAUCGCUCACCUUCACCACCUUCGAAUCACCAUCGCCGUUCUCCGCCCCACCACUCAAACCCUCGUCACCAUGCAAAUCGACCACCGCCACUAAACCACCCUUCGCCGUCAAACCCACAUCUUCAUUCACCACCGAAAAACCCCACCGUGAAUUGCGAUUCACCUCACCGUUCAUCUUCAUCAUCCUUCAACCUCCGACGAAACCCAUCACCAACCUCUUCACCUCCACCCAAAUCCACCGUCAAAACUCAACCUUCCACCGCUAGCUACACAACCCACCAUAAACCGUUCCGCAGGAAACGCCGAAACCCUCCACUUGUUCUUGCUCGUGGUCACAGGAUCGAGGCAGUUCCUGAAUUUCCUCUUGUUGUUGGUGAUUCCGUCGAGGGAGCUGAGAAAGCAGAGGAAGCAAUCCAGGGAUGCGGAAGCAUGUUGCGGUUUUAGAGAUCGGUUUGUAGCGGCGGUGGAUCUUUACGAAGCAGCUAUUGAAAUAAUCGUUAUCCUGGUGGAUAUUCAACACGACAUCGAAACCGGUUUCGCCAACGCGUUGUAGGUAUUCAUUGUACGGUUUCGAUUCCAAGUUAGCCAUAUCAUAGCUGUGGAUUUCGAUCGGGUUUUUAACAGGAAAUUGUCAUUCAUCUUCAUUUUUUGGGUAGCAUCAUAUGUAGGUUUGGAUAGCACAUCUAGUCCGAUUCUGUUUCCAAAAACUCAUCAGAUAGUUAUUUGUUUAUGAGUGAAUUGUUUAAGGAGAUGUCCUGGUUUUGAUUUUGCUGUCAACUGAUUUUGUCUUUGGAGAAUUGGGUUUGUUUUCUUUCUCCUGAUAUCGGACAUUUUUCUUUUAGUUAGAUCCAUUUAAUCACGUCGCACCCCCCACUUGUUGCAAUAUAUUGUUUGUGAUCAUUAAGAUGGUUUUAUAUUGGAUAUGGCAUUUAUGUGGCUUUGGUACUGUACAUACUGAUACUGGACUCAUUUGACACUUUUAUGUAACAUGUAAUAUUCUAAAUGUUGGCUCACCUAUAUAGCCAUUGUUGGGAUUUACCUUGUUAUAUUUUGUAUAUAUACUCAAUGUUAUUUUUA